AGCUCAUUUCAAAGAGGGUUUGUUGGGCUGUGUGGCCAGAGCCUGUAACGCUGGGACCAGACUGAUGUUCUCCACAGGGUGCCAUGGUCACUUCAUACUCUCUUUUCUUGAGGAGACAUAAAA
rnacentral:snoRNA from 1 species